AGCGAACGCUGGCGGCAGGCCUAACACAUGCAAGUCGAACGAUCCUUCGGGAUAGUGGCGGACGGGUGAGUAACACGUGGGUACGUGCCCUUUGGUUCGGAACAACUCAGGGAAACUUGAGCUAAUACCGGAUGUGCCCUUCGGGGGAAAGAUUUAUCGCCAUUGGAGCGGCCCGCGUAGGAUUAGCUAGUUGGUGGGGUAAUGGCCCACCAAGGCUCCGAUCCUUAGCUGGUCUGAGAGGAUGAUCAGCCACACUGGGACUGAGACACGGCCCAGACUCCUACGGGAGGCAGCAGUGGGGAAUCUUGCGCAAUGGGCGAAAGCCUGACGCAGCCAUGCCGCGUGAAUGAUGAAGGUCUUAGGAUUGUAAAAUUCUUUCACCGGGGACGAUAAUGACGGUACCCGGAGAAGAAGCCCCGGCUAACUUCGUGCCAGCCGCCGCCGUAAAAC
rnacentral:rRNA from 1 species